ensembl:lncRNA
GUGAAGAGCUGGGACUGGGUGUGGUGGGAGUGCGGUCAGGUCAAGGAAGUGUUGAGGAAGGGGAGGGGAGUUAGGGAGCGAUGCAAAGCGCGGUGACGUGAGAGUGGAAAUGGGGUGUUUUCGAACUGUCUUUGGCCCCCGCCCCCAGGCUGAUCUCGAUCUGGCCUGCUGCGGGGCAGGGGAGAAGGCGCCAGCUGCGGCAGGGCGCGCCUCAGGGUGACGCCGUGGCCGCGAGGUGAAGUGAGACCAAGAUAGCCUGGGCGGGAGCGUCAGACUACGUGCCUUGGGGUGCGCAGGCCCGCGCUCCGCAGUGCGUGUCCGCCGGCGGGAUGGCGCGUUUCAGCUCCGAGGCCCCGUGAUGCGAGCUCGCAGUGCGAUCCUUCUCCUGCUUGCCCUUAUAGGGGCUCCGCACACCCUGAUUGAACUGACUCCGCUGAUUCCCGCUGAUCAGUCUUUCUCGGAAAGCCCCUCAGAUUGCUCGUUUGUCUCGGCUCCCUGGACCUGGUCGAGGCUUCAAUCCCGUCCGCCAGGCUUGUUGCAGCUGGCCAAAGUGCUCCUUCUUAUAAUUCUCGUUACUGCUCUGCCACCCCAACCAGACUUUCUUGCAAAACUUGGUAUUUCAAUUAGUCUGCAGAUAUUUCUUGAAUACCAAAUAUGUGGCAGUAGCUUUCUUAGUGUGAGAAAAGCAAGAUUUGACUCCCAAGACUCAUCAUCUACGUGGAAAGAUAAAACAAAGACACAAAUAGCUAUAGUAUAAGACGCCUGCUACCCUCCCUCCUGCAUACUGACUUCAUCUUGUAACAGGCUUUGUGAUAAAAACCUGGGAGAAUAUUGGUUCUGGAAUUCCUUGUGGACAAGUCUGGGGAGACCAUUGGUCCUGGCUCCACUCCUGGAAGGGUCUUUCAGAUUUUCAGAAGAAAACUCCUGGCAGACAAAUGAAUCUUUCCUGUGAGAAUGUUGUUACCUCUUAUGUCUUCCAGGUGCCUUUCUGUCAUGAGGCUGUCUCCAUACCAGGCCUAAAUAUGAGAAGGGCUGGAGAGAAGGGGACAGGGGUUCUCCAUCCUGCCCCAGAUGUCUCUUUACUCUGUGUAGUGUGUUUGCAUUUUUUGAUGUUGGUCUGCUGACAGCUUUUAAUCCUCACACCUCCUCUUCUUCUUGUGCCCCACACCUGGACAAGCUGAUAAGGAAGCCUGAAUGCUCUCUCCUUUGGCACUGGCAGGAGAUUCAAACCACUCAAGCCCCUUCUCACAGCUCUGCAGUCUCGGGACUGGGCCUUUUCCAAGAGGACACAGAAGAGGAGAGAAUGGCAGCUGUGCCCCUAGCAGCCAGAUGGCAGUUGAAGAGAGGCAAAGAGCCAUGGAAACUUGAUCAUCAGGAAGCUGAGGAGAGAGAAGUCCCAGGAAGCACUUCUCUAGGAAUGCGUGAGCUGGGCAGAUGGGGCUUUGCUGGACAGUUCACUUAGAGACCACUCCUUAGGAUCGCAUAGACCUAUGAGAUGGCCACUGCCACACUGGCCUUUGCCUGGAAAACUCGUACCAUGUAUAGCCACAUGGCCUUCUUGUCACCUUUUUCAAGUUUUUGCUCAAAUGUGCCACCUUCUCAGUCAGGCCUGGCCUGAUGACCCUAUGUAAAAUUGAACCCUCUCCAUCCCUUUGUCCCUCCCAGCCCCUGCACCACCCGCUCUCUUCCCGACUCUGUCUUCCUAACAUACUAUAGUUUUACUUCUUCAUUUUGUUGGUUGUCUGUCCACACCUACCCUCUGUUAAAGUAUAAACUCCAUCAGAGACUUUUUCUGUUGUUUGCUACUGUAUCCCCAGUACUUCAAACAGUACCUGGUACAGAGCACACACUCAGGUAUUUGUCAGAUGAAUGAAUAAGUGGAGUGUGCAUAGCAAGGCCCGCCCCCGUUGGGUUUUUUGCAGGGAGGGUUGAGAUCUAUCAUUAUUUCAACUCUGAUAUCACUUACUUAUCUUUUCUGCAUAUCCUUUACCGUAUCUCCUCCUCUUCCUUUAAAUUACCAUUCAGUGGCCAUUGACAGUUCACUUUCUCAGGUGCUAGCCUGUCUCCCCACUUUUUCUCUGCUGUUUAUACUCAUCGAGUAACAAACUGCCCAGUCAUUUCCCCGCUUCAUUGUGUAUCUCCUAUUUUUAUGCACGUAUCUCUCUCUGAAAUGCUCUUCUUUUGGCUGUGUACUUGGUUAACAACUUUCAGAUCUCAGCUUAAAUGUCACUUCUAGAUGACCGUUCUUAAGGGUCCCUCUAAAGAAGUCCCCACUCCAACUCUCAUUCAUCAUUUCCUUUGCUGUACUUAUCACCAUCUGUUAUAUUUUGUUUAUUUAUUCUUUGUCUUCUGUCUAGUAGAAUAUAAGCAUAACAAGGGUGGGGACCAUGUCUGUCUUGUUCAUUAGGGUCCCAAUGACUUUUACCAUGCCUCCUUACCACUAGGCAGGCCCCUAGUAAAUAUCUCAUGAAUGAAUAACUGAAACUUGUUCAGUGGGCUAGAUGCCCACCUUCCACUUCUGGUCUCUAUUCCUCUUUUUUCCUCUGCCAUUUUUCAGCCUCUCCGUAAUGUUUUUUCUCUGAGGAGCUACCAAUAAACCCAGCAGUAUUUUGCAUUUGUUCUUUUCUUAAUAUAUAUACAAUGUUUUCCUUUUCACUAGCACUCAAACCCAGUUAUAUCUGUGUUUUCUGUUUGUUUUAUACCAGAAGGCUAGACUUAAGAGCCAGGACUCAACUGAAAAGCAGGAUGUUUCUAAAAAAGUAAAGUCAUUACUGAAAAUACAAGACAUGAAUGAAAAACCUCAGAAAAGAUGGUCCUCUGGGUCCUGUACUUGGCCCAGAAAACCCUGAGGGCACAAAGAAAGAAAAUGCUUCAGGGGAGACUUUGAAGAAAUCGUCCCCCAAGGAGAAGGACUCAGGCAAGGAUACACUCUUGCCAAACAAACUGACAAUAAGGAGAUACAGUUGGAAGGCAGUGUAUGUGGGAAGACCUUAUAUAACCAUUUACCCCUCACUUGCCAUCAGAGGACCCACACUGAAGAGAAGCCCUACGACUAUAAAGAAUGCGGGAAAGCCUUCAGCUAUAGGAGUAGUCUUAAGAAACAUUUGAUGUCUCACACUGGCAAGAGCACCUCUGAAGGCAGCGAAUGUCAGGAAACUUUCCAUGACCAAUUAACCCUUAUUGAACAUCAGCGAAGUCAUACCAGAGGGAAGCCUUUUGAAUGUAAUGAAUGUGACAAGGCUUUCUUUGUCCACUUGUGCUUUACUCCACAUCAGAGAAUUCAUACUGGAGAAAGACCUUGUGAGUGUACAGAAUGUGGGAAAUCCUUUAGCCAGAAAAGCAAUCUCAGUCACCACAUGCUCACUCACCCUGGAGAGUGGCCCUGUGGGUGCAAGGCAUGUGACAAAGCUCUGCUUGACCACUCCUCCCUCGUUCACCACAGGAAAGCGCACACUAGAAAGACCCCUUUUGAAUGUAAUGAGUGUGGGAAAGUUUUCUUUGACCCCUCAUCCCUUAAUAAACAUCAGAAAAUUCAUAGUGGAGACAAGCCCUAUAAAGGCACUGAAUGUGGGAAAGCCUUCCUCCAGAAAAGACAACUUAUUCAACAUGAAAGAGUGCACACUGGAGAGAAAUCCUGCAAGUGCAGCAUGUGUGGGAAAGUGCUCAGUUGAAAGUCAUCUAUCAUCUGACAUCAGCGACAUUAUGCAGACAGGCUUCAGAGUAUCACGAAGGUGCUUCAGCUGGACAAGGGACCCCCGUAGUGACUUUGAAACCAGAGGCCAACUUGCUUUAACUAUACUCAGUUAGUUGUCUGUUUGCAAAAGUAGUUAGAUAAUGCAUUGCUAAAACCUGCCCUAUAAAUAACGUCUCUGAUGCCUGGGUCACCGUAAUAACAGGUGCUUGAGUUUUUCAGGAUCUGAAAGUCGACUCCUUGUCCAGUUCAGGCUGGUUAAGACAACCAACUCAUCAACUGGACCUGCACAGAUGACCAAUAGGUGACACUGUGACAUCAAGGAGCUGAAAACUCCACCCUCAGAUCAUGGUAAUGCUGCCAUUUUGUGAAUAUGUGUCCUAUGAAGAGCCAUGAAGCUUGACUAGACUUGCACGGAUCAUCAAUUACCUCACUUCUCCUUCCCUCCAAUCAUCUUUUCCCACUUCAGACCAUCCUGCCUGCCCCCUUAUCCCAUAAAUAUCCCUCGUCCCCAUUUUGGGGGGGAGGUAGAUUUGCCCACCUCCUUGCUUGGCUGCCUUGUGAUUAAAUCCUUUCUCUUUGCAGACUCGUCAUCUCAAUGAUUGGCAUAAUUGUGUGCCAGGAAAAACAAACCUGGUUCAGUAACUUCAAGAUAAUGAAGAUUUAUCUUUGAGCGCCUUCUAACUACUGUUAAUUCUCAUGCCUCCAUUUG